UACAUGCAGUCGAGCGGACAGAAGGGAGCUUGCUCCCGGAUGUUAGCGGCGGACGGGUGAGUAACACGUGGGUAACCUGCCUGUAAGACUGGGAUAACUCCGGGAAACCGGAGCUAAUACCGGAUAGUUCCUUGAACCGCAUGGUUCAAGGAUGAAAGACGGUUUCGGCUGUCACUUACAGAUGGACCCGCGGCGCAUUAGCUAGUUGGUGAGGUAACGGCUCACCAAGGCGACGAUGCGUAGCCGACCUGAGAGGGUGAUCGGCCACACUGGGACUGAGACACGGCCCAGACUCCUACGGGAGGCAGCAGUAGGGAAUCUUCCGCAAUGGACGAAAGUCUGACGGAGCAACGCCGCGUGAGUGAUGAAGGUUUUCGGAUCGUAAAGCUCUGUUGUUAGGGAAGAACAAGUGCAAGAGUAACUGCUUGCACCUUGACGGUACCUAACCAGAAAGCCACGGCUAACUACGUGCCAGCAGCCGCGGUAAUACGUAGGUGGCAAGCGUUGUCCGGAAUUAUUGGGCGUAAAGGGCUCGCAGGCGGUUUCUUAAGUCUGAUGUGAAAGCCCCCGGCUCAACCGGGGAGGGUCAUUGGAAACUGGGAAACUUGAGUGCAGAAGAGGAGAGUGGAAUUCCACGUGUAGCGGUGAAAUGCGUAGAGAUGUGGAGGAACACCAGUGGCGAAGGCGACUCUCUGGUCUGUAACUGACGCUGAGGAGCGAAAGCGUGGGGAGCGAACAGGAUUAGAUACCCUGGUAGUCCACGCCGUAAACGAUGAGUGCUAAGUGUUAGGGGGUUUCCGCCCCUUAGUGCUGCAGCUAACGCAUUAAGCACUCCGCCUGGGGAGUACGGUCGCAAGACUGAAACUCAAAGGAAUUGACGGGGGCCCGCACAAGCGGUGGAGCAUGUGGUUUAAUUCGAAGCAACGCGAAGAACCUUACCAGGUCUUGACAUCCUCUGACAACCCUAGAGAUAGGGCUUUCCCUUCGGGGACAGAGUGACAGGUGGUGCAUGGUUGUCGUCAGCUCGUGUCGUGAGAUGUUGGGUUAAGUCCCGCAACGAGCGCAACCCUUGAUCUUAGUUGCCAGCAUUCAGUUGGGCACUCUAAGGUGACUGCCGGUGACAAACCGGAGGAAGGUGGGGAUGACGUCAAAUCAUCAUGCCCCUUAUGACCUGGGCUACACACGUGCUACAAUGGACAGAACAAAGGGCUGCGAGACCGCAAGGUUUAGCCAAUCCCACAAAUCUGUUCUCAGUUCGGAUCGCAGUCUGCAACUCGACUGCGUGAAGCUGGAAUCGCUAGUAAUCGCGGAUCAGCAUGCCGCG
rnacentral:rRNA from 1 species